rnacentral:tRNA from 1 species
CAAGGUAUAGCUAAGUAGUAAGCGUCUCUUUUACACGGAGUAUAUCCCUGUGCAACUCAGGUUACUUUGA